GGAGGGUAACCCGGAGAAAUCCGGACUAAUACCCCAUAAUAUGGGCGCUCCGCAUGGAGAGCCCAUUAAAGAGAGCAAUUUUGGUUACAGACGAGCAUGCGCUCCAUUAGCCAGUUGGCGGGGUAACGGCCCACCAAAGCGACGAUGGAUAGGGGUUCUGAGAGGAAGGUCCCCCACAUUGGAACUGAGACACGGUCCAA
rnacentral:rRNA from 1 species